UCACCCAGGUGCAAGCCCAGAGGCAGUCUAUACCCCAACUCAACUGGCUGGUCCUCAGUGCUGCCUGCUUCUGUGCCCAACUUAGAACUACACAUCUGCUGCCUCUUGGUAACAUGUCAUAAGUCUGAAGAUUGCCAUUUGAAAUGCUCUUUGAGGGACGUGAAGUCAACCCUGGAUCCAAAGUAGCUUUGAUGUUUGUCAGGAAAAUGCUGGAGUUCUAUACACUACAGUUUCUACAGAGCAUGAAGAACUCCAACUUCAGACAACCUGCAAAAAAAGUCAGAGAGCAAUUAAAUAUAAAAAUAAAUUCCUUUGAUAAAGCAAA
rnacentral:lncRNA from 1 species